GUCUCUGUGGCGCAAUCGGUUAGCGCGUUCGGCUGUUAACCGAAAGGUUGGGGGUUCGAGCACACCCAGGGACG
rfam:Gorilla gorilla gorilla genomic chromosome, chr1, whole genome shotgun sequence